rnacentral:rRNA from 1 species
GACAGAGGGGGCAAGCGUUGCUCGGAAUUACUGGGCGUAAAGGGCGCGUAGGCGGGAUGGCAAGUCGGUCGUGAAAUCCCUCGGCUCAACCGAGGAACGUCGAUCGAUACUGCUGUUCUUGAGGAUUGCAGAGGAGACUGGAAUUCCCGGUGUAGCGGUGAAAUGUGUAGAGAUCGGGAGGAACACCGGUGGCGAAGGCGGGUCUCUGGGCAAUUCCUGACGCUGAGGCGCCAAAGCGUGGGGAGCAAACGGG